GGGUUAGUGGUCUAAUUGGUAGGAUGUCUUCUUGUCAAGGAGAAUAGUGUCGGUUCGAUCCCGGCUUGACCCG
rnacentral:tRNA from 1 species